rnacentral:rRNA from 1 species
AAGGUGAAAAGCCCCCCGACGAGGGGAGUGAAACAGUACCUGAAACCGAACGCCUACAAUCAGUUGGAGGGCCCUUGCGGCCUGACAGCGUACCUUUUGUAUAAUGGGUCAUCGACUUGGUCUAUCUAGCAAGCUUAAGCCGUUAGGUGUAGGCGCAGCGAAAGCGAGUCUUAAUAGGGCGCAUGAGUUAGAUGGAUCAGACCCGAAACCGAGUGAUCUAGGCAUGAUCAGGAUGAAGGUAAGGUAACACUUACUGGAGGUCCGAACCCACACCUGUUGAAAAAGGUCGGGAUGAGUUGUGCCUAGGGGUGAAAGGCCAAUCAAACUCGGAGAUAGCUGGUUCUCCGCGAAAUCUAUUUAGGUAGAGCGUCGAUCGAAUACUCUUGGGGGUAGAGCACUGACUGGGCUAGGGGUCCUCACCGGAUUACCAAACCUUAUCAAACUCCGAAUACCAAGAAGUACUAAUCGGCAGACACACGGCGGGUGCUAACGUCCGUCGUGGAGAGGGAAACAACCCUGACCACCAAUUAAGGUCCCCAAAUAAUGGCUAAGUGUGAAAGGAUGUGGGAUUGCUUUGACAAUGAGGAGGUUGGCUUAGAAGCAGCCAUCCUUUAAAGAAAGCGUAACAGCUCACUCAUCAAGCGAUCCUGCGCCGAAAAUGUAACGGGGCUAAAGCCAUUUACCGAAAUUGUGGGCUCGAAAGAGCGGUAGCGGAGCGUUCCGUAAGCCUGCGAAGGUGCACUGCGAGGUGUGCUGGAGGUAUCGGAAGUGAGAAUGUUGACAUGAGUAG